rnacentral:rRNA from 1 species
GCUUACCAUGCAGUCGAGGGGCAGCACGAUGUAGCAAUACAUGGGUGGCGACCGGCGCACGGGUGCGUAACACGUAUGGAAUCUGCCCUUUACUGGAGGAUAGCCCGGAGAAAUCCGGAUUAAUACUCCAUAAUAAGUCGAGUGGCAUCACUUGGCUUUGAAAGCUCCGGCGGUAAAGGAUGACCAUGCGCACGAUUAGCUAGUUGGUGAGGUAACGGCUCACCAAGGCUACGAUCGUUAGGGGGCCUGAGAGGGUUAUCCCCCACACUGGUACUGAGACACGGACCAGACUCCUACGGGAGGCAGCAGUGAGGAAUAUUGCGCAAUGGAGGCAACUCUGACGCAGCCAUGCCGCGUGCAGGAAGAAGGCGCUACGCGUUGUAAACUGCUUUUAACCGGGAAGAAACCCCAGGACGUGUCCUGGGUUGACGGUACCGGAGGAAUAAGCACCGGCUAACUUCGUGCCAGCAGCCGCGGUAAUACGAAGGGUGCAAGCGUUAUCCGGAUUCAUUGGGUUUAAAGGGUGCGUAGGCGGGAUGGUAAGUCAGUGGUGAAAUCCUGCAGCUUAACUGUAGAAUUGCCAUUGAUACUGCCAUUCUUGAGUACGCUUGAUGUGGGCGGAAUGUGCCGUGUAGCGGUGAAAUGCUUAGAUAUUACACAGAACACCGAUAGCGAAGGCAGCUCACAAAAGCGAAACUGACGCUGAGGCACGAAAGCGUGGGGAUCGAACAGGAUUAGAUACCCUGGUAGUCCACGCCGUAAACGAUGAUCACUCGUCAUUGGCGAUACACUG